GGUGAUCCUGAUAGCAGGGACACAGGCGAGAUGGUCCUGCCACUUGUCUGCUGUGGUAACAUAGGCAAGAGAGAGAUGUCCCCUUUUGCCCCUUGACACCUACAGCAGACAGGAGAACAGGCCCUACGCCUUACCUGGUCAGCACAGUAGAGCAAGCCCUGGCUGUGGGGGUUGGAGGUGAGCUGGCCUCCAGGUUGAGCGUAGGAGAGCUGGCCCUGCUACUUGUCUGCCUUGUAGUGACAGGGGUGAAGGUGAGAUGUGCCCGUGCCCUCACCCCUUGACACCUAUGGCACGUAGGAGAGUUGGUCCUGCCCCUUGCUAGCAGUGGCAUUGCACAGUCCAGCUGGGGCAGGGUAGGAGAGCUUGUCCUGAUGGUGUAGAUACAGGAGAAUUGGUGCAGCUCUGAUACCUAUCAGGCCCAGAUCCAGGGCUAUAAAUUGGCCAUCCCAACAUCUAUCCCAUCGAUGAACUGCUAGAGUGUGUGAAGGUUCUGGACCUACAUAUCCAAAACUACAGGAUAUCCCGGAGGAGUCCCAGUGAGGAUCCAGUAUUUCUAGUAUAGCAGAAGCCAGAGGCUUAGUACCAAACCAAGUCAUUGUAAUGGACAUUUGCAAGCAAAGAAGUGUGGGAAAAAGGAUAUAGUGUGAGAGGAACAGUGACACACUACAGUUUCCACAAGAUGUUUUUCCUGUUGGGGAGGAGGUUGCAAGGGUGGGGGGCAAGUAUGAAGGUGGGAGAUGAGUGGAACUGGGAUGAAUGAUGUGAAGUUCACAAAGAACCAAUGAAAAUAGUUGUUAAGUUGGCACUGAAGAAUCCCAGUGCUGGGGAAGUGGGGAAAGGAGGGUCUCUGACGCUGACUACUCAGUCUGUCAUGUCUAAUCAAUUGCUGUGACCAUAUCUAGGAUUUAUCAGCUUUUCAUGUGAGGUAUGAAUAUUCCCUAACUUCUUGUUGCUAAAUUUUCUUCCCAGGGGAGGGAACAUAAACAUCUACCCUUCCUCCUAAGGUUCCAAUGACAAACCAAGGACAAUUCCAUUAGAGUUCACUCUGAGGAUCUAAUGAAUUUAUUGGGCCUCCUUGCCGUAUAGAAUGUUGGUGCUCCCCCAAUGCAAAAAGCCACACUGGAAAUUCUCCACACAUCAGGAAUGAUGGCUUUCCAAUAACCACAUCAAUGAACCUUCCUCGUCUAGGUUCCCCAACCUAUAUAGUCUAGGCCUUCCCUGAGGCCAUGUGUACUUAGGGCAGUGCUGCACACAAGUAGGGAGGUGCUGAUACUCAAUGCGGGUCUCAUGACCGGUCAUUUUCCUCUAUGAGGAAGUGCAACAAACACAGUCGGAAUGAUUUCUACUAACUCUGAACUCCCAAAGACAGCAAGCAGUUGCUUGGCUUAGAGGAUAGUUCUGUACAGCGCUUCUCCAUUGCUAUUUCCCCAGUAAUGUUAUUGUAGCAAACUGUUUUUUCCAUGAAGACGUUUACAUUCAUCAUCUAAAGUUUGAAAGCUUUGGCAUUUAGGCUUGAUUAAAUGCCUUUGUUCCAGCAAAGAGAAAGCCAUCUAUCUACUCAUUUAGUUGUUCCUUUCCUUUACCAACUGAAACAAACUGCCCAUUACUCUGUUAGCUUGAACUGCCUACUAAGCCAGUUACUGGAUCUUAAAUAGGCAAAUCUUUAGACCUAUCAUCUAUAUUUUAAUACAUCCCAACAGCAGCCUCCCCUCCUCCUCCCUACUCCUUUUAGUCCCCAACCCACCUCCCCUGUCCCCUCCCCAGAUCCAUGUUAUUGAGCACUAACACUAAGCCCGCCAACCCCAGAUAACGUGCAAGUCAGCAGGGCAUGAUCUUGAGUUUCUAAGAGCUCACACAGCUUUGUAAUACAAAUAUCUAACCUUAACCAAUUUUAUCGUACAAAUGGUAGACUGCCCUGCUCUCCCUUAAAGGAGCCCUUCCUAGACAGUCAAGAGCAUCUACCAUCCAUCUUACUGCCUUCAUUUAGUUAUCUUCUAACUUGGUGUUGUGGAGAAACUAAAGGAAAAAGACUGGGCAUUUGGGAGGAAUGAAAAUAACAGGUUAGUGAUUGUGAAAUCUUAGGACUUUGUGAAUGUUAUUCUUUGGAUUCUAAUGCUUGAUUUAUGGUAUAUUUUAAGAUCUGAUACUUGCUAAUGAUAACAAAAGAUAAUCCCUGAGCAAUUACUUUGUGCCAAGCACCAACUGAUACAUAGAUUAUGUCACUGGAGUGAACAAAUCUGGACAGAAGUUCUGCUGUCAUUCCUCCCCCAUGGAUGCACACACAAAUGGCCAAGGUCUGACCAGAGUCAGGAUUCAGGCCAACACUUUGGGUCAAGAGCUUCUGCUUAAAACUACUUACACACCCUACAUCCCAGGAAAAGUCUUUGCAGGAGCUGGUGUCGCAUGGCAUAACUGCAGUGUGUGCCCGGAGUGCUUUUGGUUUGGGGUUUCUUGUCACAUUUCCAUAUAUGUAUGUAAAAUGUAAUUUCAAUACUGUCACCCCUCAUUACCCUCUCAUCUUCCAUUCCCUUUCCACUGAUGAGUGUGGGGAAGGGAGAUGUGGGAUGACCCUUCCACACUGUUGGUGGGAAUAAACUGAAAAAAGAGGAGUGUAAACUGAGGCAGCCACUACGGAAAUUUGUAUGAAGGGUCCUC
rnacentral:lncRNA from 1 species